UCAAAUUAUAAAAAGGAAUAUUAAUUAUUGAUUACAAUAAUGCCUAAUAAAAACUGAUAUGAUUUUAUAAUUAAUAUAAUUAAUAAGUAGAUUUGAUAAGAACGGUGAUAAGUAGAAUGAUAAGAGAGUGGGAUAAAAAAUAAAACUGAUAUUAAAUGAUAUAAAUGAAGUGAAUUAUGAAAAGUUUUGGCUAAUUAUGGCUGAAAUAUUUUGGUUACCAAACUUUUUCCGUACAAUAUUUAUGAUGCCAACUAAGCUAAAACUAAUUUCAACUAACUUCUCAUUAACUUAAUUUGUCUUCUACCUAUCCUUCACCUUCAUUACUCCUAAUCACAAUUUUAUAAAAAUUUACUUUUUUAUUAAAAAAAAAAAGAAAAAAACGAAAUCACUGAUGAUUAGUUGUGAAACCUGUCCUUUAUAUAUAUGUGUGUCAUGUUGUUAAUUGAAUCUGUCCAUCUGCUUCUACUUCCAAACUACACAGUAAUAAAGAAGGCUAACAUUCAUCUAUUUAUUUAACUAUCUUUUUUUUUUGGGACACAAAAGAAAUUAAAUUGAAGAAAAUCAUCUUCUUUUAAGAAAGAAAAGUAAAAAUGACAGGUCUAGAAGUAGAUGCAAAUGGAAAUGGCUCUUUAAAAAAGUUGAAGCCAAGUGAGACCAUAGGAAAGAACAUCCAAUGCAGAGAACUCUUUGUGGUGGAACUGGAACAAGUUGUUAUUUAUCCUCUUCAGAAAAUGGAGGUUUGGAUCAAAAUACUGUCAUACCGAUCUAACAUGUUAAAAAGUUGAGGUUCAUAUAAAUAUAUGUGUGUUAUAAUAUCUUGUUAUUAAUUAAUGAAUUAAUAAAAGUUAUAUGGUCUACAUAUAAUUUUCUCA